rnacentral:lncRNA from 1 species
AACUGUUUACGCUGAAAAAAACAUGCAGAUACAUUUCAGAAAUCAGCCGGUAGCUUUGUCCCCUAUAGCCGAUACACCUGUCCCGCUAUGUCUCAACUCGGCGGUGUCUGCCGCGGCUUCCUACGGGAUAUGCCAUCGACUGAUGCAGGCGCUAUGCCGCUAGGGAACGCCAGUAUCAGGAUGACUGAGUCCCGUUGUUGCUGGCAGGCACUUGGCGGGGGACCGUCUCCACCACCUGCGCCUUUUUGGUGAAUAAAGAUUGGAGCAUGUCGUCUUCUCUUCCAACCGGGAUCAGUUCGGUGAACUUUCCUGGUCCACGGCGGUCCCACUUCAGGGAACUGCUGGCCACCGGCCCGGUGUCAGUUGUGCUGCUGCCAUGGUAGCUCGACACGUGGAUAACAAGAAGCCCACAACAAGGGAUGAAUUCGUUUGAAGACACAUUCCCUCGCUGAAGGUGAUACUUUGAAGAAAACCCCAUCCACUCAUGUGCGAAGAACAUACUAUCACCUUCCGAGGUUGCAGUGCAUGUUGAUGUUGAACCGCGUGUAACGACGUCGUGUGCCGACUGGCAUGCAAAGUGCUUGAAGCGUAGCGGACCGAUCAGCCUAUAUCUCUACAGGCCGGUUCUCAUGAACACCUUUCUCUCUUUCACUGUAUUUCGAGACAUAAGAAGUGACCUCCAGAUGGUUGCCGCAGGAAGCCCUUAUCAAGUGGGACCUAGUAAUAAUGCGUGGUUACCCACCCCCCACUCUAAUCCGGAUGUUUCCUCUGGAAGGAUAAGGAUAGCCAGUGUCUGGGUGGCGUCAGUCGACAGUCGCGCGCCGCGUCCAACAUCGAGAUUUGUUAAGACGCACUGUCGCGGGGAUGGAGCUUCGUCCCGGCUUUUUGACGGUGCACCGCUUAUGCAAAAGCGCACGGCUUCAAGGAGCGUCCUUCAUUCAUUGUUCGCCGUUCCACGCGGGAUACGUUGAGCAGGAAGAGAUGCAGGUGGAGUGCAGUCAGGAAGCAGCUAUCUCCGGGGGGUGCUCUAUAAUGCCGCAUUGACCGAAUGAGCAUUUGUCACGUCGCACAGUUCAACCAGGGCACCUGGGGGCGGCCUCGGCUAUGGGGAUGUACGACAAUGCAAAACGUGAGAACACACAGCCACUCUGAGAGUCGGUAGCAUUUUCGACAGGGCUGAUGAUGUGUUUUGGGCAGCAGCCGAUAGUAUCAGGGGGUAACUGCCCGAGGAUCUUCCUGUGUAACUGCUCUCAUAGAUCAUGAUUCUUCCACAGGCCUGAUGACCGUCAGGAGUUCUUCUUCGUAAGGCGAUCCGCUUCGUGUGUAGUCAGACGUGUUUUCAUCACUAUGCGUCACACUUUUUGACAAUAUUCCCUUCCUCACCUUUAUGCGCAGAAAAACUUGUUUGUCCGCAGGUACAUUUAUGAGUGU